rnacentral:rRNA from 1 species
CUCGUAGGUGGUUCGUCACGUCGGAUGUGAAAAUCUGGGGCUUAACCCCAGACCUGCAUUCGAUACGGGCGAGCUAGAGUGUGGUAGGGGAGACUGGAAUUCCUGGUGUAGCGGUGGAAUGCGCAGAUAUCAGGAGGAACACCAAUGGCGAAGGCAGGUCUCUGGGCCAUUACUGACACUGAGGAGCGAAAGCGUGGGGAGCGAACA